rnacentral:rRNA from 1 species
GACGAACGCUGGCGGCGUGCUUAACACAUGCAAGUCGAACGGAAAGGCCCCUUUGGGGGUACUCGAGUGGCGAACGGGUGAGUAACACGUGAGUAACCUGCCCUUGACUUCGGGAUAACUUCAGGAAACUGGGGCUAAUACCGGAUAGGAAUCCUUGCUGCAUGGUGGGGGUUGGAAAGCUUCGGCGGUUUUGGAUGGACUCGCGGCUUAUCAGCUUGUUGGUGGGGUAGUGGCUUACCAAGGCUUUGACGGGUAGCCGGCCUGAGAGGGCGACCGGCCACAUUGGGACUGAGAUACGGCCCAGACUCCUACGGGAGGCAGCAGUGGGGAAUAUUGCACAAUGGGCGGAAGCCUGAUGCAGCAACGCCGCGUGCGGGAUGACGGCCUUCGGGUUGUAAACCGCUUUCAGCAGGGGCGAAGCUUGUGGUGACGGCACCUGCAGAAGAAGCACCGGCUAACUACGUG